CGUGCCGCACGGCCCGGCCCGGCCUGCGCUGCAGCAGGGCAGGGUCCAACCUGGCCCUGCCGGGCCACGCAGGCCCCCAGUUACCUGUCCAAAAGCCGGAAGCAAGAGAGUUUUUCCCGGGCUUUUUUAGUUUUAAAAUGUGAUUUCACAGCGGGGUGUUCAGCUUUCCUAAGUGUUAUAAAAGGGUGGAAAUAUUCAAAACUAGCCAGCUGAUUGGUUCUAUUGGGUCCGGAGGAAGCUGUUAGUAGUCCUCACAGAGAAUCACUUCAGUAGCUGAUGGAUUUCUCCUUAACUAAAAAUCAGACUAUGUUAAACCAGGACAAACAGGAAAAACAAACAGGUGCAAAGAUUCCACCAGAACAAGAAAGCAACAUUGAGAAUAAAAGUGAAGAUGGAAUUAGUGACUGAGAGCAAAGCACAAAUGCUUGUCACCAGUACAACACGUUGGCCUGAGUCUGAUGUAAUCUCAAAAAGCAAGUCUGGAAACUGAAGCAGAUGAAAACCUCUUGUUCGUUACAAAAAUAGAAAUUGUGGUUAAGUGCCUGUUUGAUUCAUGUAGCUUGCACAACAGCUUGCACAAUUUUUUUUGCUUGCAUAAUCGCGUGAUAAUCAUAAGAUUUUAAGUAAGUUUUAUAGAAGAAAAGGCAAAGCUUUUUACUAAAUAUGGAAUCAGGUUAAAGGACAUAACCGAGGAAGACUACCAAGACCUUCAUCAUCGACCACCAGGAGGCGAGAGAAGACCCCCUAGCAACAAUUAACGCAGGCGCAGAGUACUUCAAGAUGACACAGAAGUCCGGAAGCAUUAAGAACUUAAAAAGGGGGGUCCUUGGGGAUGAGGGUGCGGCAGUUGGUGGAGCGGAGACUCCCCUGCCGUCCAGCGCUGAAGCUUUUGCUUAUGCUGUAUGCCUUGAAUUAAUAAAUUCAAAUUGGAAAUUUUACUCCUUUUGAGUCCAUUCAUAACAAAUUGGUGCCGUGACUCGGAUACGGGAGUUGAAUUGGAUAAGUUGUUCCAGAGAGGGAGGCGCCCCACCUAACCUAUUUCGGUGGCCCCUCUGGACGACCUCCACCUCCCUAUCUGACGAACCUAAAACUAUACUCAUAAGCAAAAGGGAGACACCGGUGAACCCCUUAAUCCUCUGUGCACAGGGUCCGGACGAAGACGCAGGACGCAUGCAGCAGUCCGAACUGUUGAGAAAGGGUGGACUCAAGCUAGCCGGAUCAAAGGACCAGUAAAACCCCCGGACAACUGGAAGGUUUGCAGUGUCCCUGAAGAAACCACAAUUAAAUUAAAGCGAACUUCAUGAUUUGGACCAUAGCCUGGGUAGGGGACAAUCAAUAUCUUCAAGACCUCUUAACAAGAAACAGGCAAUCACCGGGAUAUUGUAAAAGAUUAGAGGACGAACUGAAAAAGCCUUACUUUAAGUCUUCUCGCCUCGAAUAUAAAGGACAAACUUGGGGAGGGGAGCCAGCUAGAUGUGAAGAAAUAAAGACUCAAAUGUAAUUAUUUAGACUGUAACUGUUACCCAUUUUUAAGCUUUUUUUGUAAGCUGUGUUUUGAACCGUGGUGGACUCAUUGUCGGAAAAGACGGGUUCCUAGGGGCAUUUGCAGCCCCUGUUAUACUAACAAAAGGAGACUAACUUCUACGAUCCUUAAUUAUAAAAUAGACUCGAGAGAAAUAAAGCUUGGGUCAGAUCAGUGGUGGGAGAUCUUCUCAAAGGGUAUAAACCCCGAGCGGUUCUGUUAUCACGCAAACGAACCAGCCCCCUUCAUCCUAGACAUUCUCAAAGUGGUGUGCAGAAGAAGUAUUCCCACCAUACAGUGUGAUAUCCCACUAAUAAAAGCCAGAAACUAGGCUGCUAGUAAAAGGAAGUGGAAGCAAGAAUACCAAAACUGGGCUGCUAGCCGAGAGAAAAGGUGGGGAAGAGACAAUCAUAAUUAUCUGACUCCUGAAGAAUACCCCUGCUGCCGAGAAGAUGGUCACCCUCGAGGCUCGCAGCAACCGAGUCGUCGAGCGAGGCAGAGGGGUAAUAGACCGUGGAGACAAUCGGAAGUCUCGACCCCUCCGUGGGAAGUUCAGGAGAUGCUGGCAGUCCUACCGCAAGAUUGGUAAGCCACCACUAAGGGAAGGGAAACGGGAAAAAGAAAAAACAACAAAUGAGUCCAUUCCAACCAUGUAGACCACCCGGUUUGGACAAAGCUAAUACUGAUGUGUAUAGUGAUUAGGAUAUCCUGUGCUCAGACCCAUAAACCCUUUAAGUGGUCCCUAAUUAGAUAGAAAGAUCAAAAAGUUUUAAAAACAAAAAUUACUUCAAAAAAACCUAGCUUUUUGCUUACAUUGUGCGAGACUAAGUCAAUACGCAUUAGCUAGGUUUGACGAACAAGAGGAUAAAAGAGAAAGGGGGGAUUGAAGCAGAUGAAAACCUCUUGUUCGUUACAAAAAUAGAAAUUGUGGUUAAGUGCCUGUUUGAUUCAUGUAGCUUGCACAACAGCUUGCACAAUUUUUUUUGCUUGCAUAAUCGCGUGAUAAUCAUAAGAUUUUAAGUAAGUUUUAUAGAAGAAAAGGCAAAGCUUUUUACUAAAUAUGGAAUCAGGUUAAAGGACAUAACCGAGGAAGACUACCAAGACCUUCAUCAUCGACCACCAGGAGGCGAGAGAAGACCCCCUAGCAACAAUUAACGCAGGCGCAGAGUACUUCAAGAUGACACAGAAGUCCGGAAGCAUUAAGAACUUAAAAAGGGGGGUCCUUGGGGAUGAGGGUGCGGCAGUUGGUGGAGCGGAGACUCCCUUGCCGUCCAGCGCUGAAGCUUUUGCUUAUGCUGUAUGCCUUGAAUUAAUAAAUUCAAAUUGGAAAUUUUA